rnacentral:rRNA from 1 species
UACGGGGGGGGCAAGCGUUGUUCGGAAUUACUGGGCGUAAAGGGCUCGUAGGCGGCCAACUAAGUCAGACGUGAAAUCCCUCGGCUUAACCGGGGAACUGCGUCUGAUACUGGAUGGCUUGAAUCCGGGAGAGGGAUGCGGAAUUCCAGGUGUAGCGGUGAAAUGCGUAGAUAUCGGGAGGAACACCAGUGGCGAAGGCGCCUUCCUGGCCUGUAACUGACGCUGAUACGCGAAAGCGUGGGGAGCAAACCGG